rnacentral:rRNA from 1 species
AUUGAACGCUGGCGGCAGGCCUAACACAUGCAAGUCGAGCGAGCGGCGGACGGGUGAGUAAUGUCUGGGAAACUGCCUGAUGGAGGGGGAUAACUACUGGAAACGGUAGCUAAUACCGCAUACCAUCAGAUGUGCCCAGAUGGGAUUAGCUAGUAGGUGGGGUAACGGCCCACCUAGGCGAAGAUCCCUAGCUGGUCUUAGAGGAUGACCAGCCACACUGUAACUGAGAGACGGUCAAGACUCCUCCGGGAGGCAGCAGUGGGGAAUAUUGCACAAUGGGCGCAAGCCUGAUGCAGCCAUGCCGCGUGUAUGAAGAAGGCCUUCGGGUUGUAAAGUACUUUCAGCGGGGAGGCGUUACCCGCAGAAGAAGCACCGGCUAACUCCGUGCCAGCAGCCGCGGUAAUUC